GCUUGUCUCAAAGAUUAAGCCAUGCAUGUUCAAGUAUAGCAAGUGUACAGUGAAACUGCGAAUGGCUCAUUAAAUCAGUUAUAGUUUAUUUGAUGGUUCCUUUACUUGGAUAACCCGAGUAAUUCUCUGGCUAACAAAUGCAGAAGACCCUUUAUUGGGUUGUAUUUAUUAGAUCUUUACUAACUCUGUUGGUGAGUCAUAAUAAGAUAACAGAUCGCAUCGAGGUAACUCGGCGACGGAUCAUUCAAGUUUCUGCCCUAUCAACUUUCGAUGGUACGGUAUUGGCCUACCAUGGUGACCACGGGUAACGGGGGAUUAGGGUUCGAUUCCGGAGAGGGAGCCUGAGAAAUGGCUACCACUUCUAAGGAAGGCAGCAGG
rnacentral:rRNA from 1 species